rnacentral:rRNA from 1 species
UACGUAGGGUGCAAGCGUUGUCCGGAAUUAUUGGGCGUAAAGAGCUCGUAGGCGGCUUGUCGCGUCUGCCGUGAAAGCCCGAGGCUCAACUUCGGGUCUGCGGUGGGUACGGGCAGGCUAGAGUGCGGUAGGGGAGAUUGGAAUUCCUGGUGUAGCGGUGGAAUGCGCAGAUAUCAGGAGGAACGCCGAUGGCGAAGGCAGAUCUCUGGGCCGUAACUGACGCUGAGGAGCGAAAGCAUGGGGAGCGAACAGG